ensembl:lncRNA
GUUCGAAACAACGGGGAAUAUAUCCAGAAUCAGCGCUCCAUCAUCUCUGUGUUUCUGUGUUUUGACGGCACAGCCCUCGAUCAGAGCGACAAAGCGCAGCUCUGCAUUGCCUUCUAUUGUCUCCAGAUGCGCCUCUCCUCCUCAGAUCGCUCUUUACCCUUCUCAUGAGUCGGUUCUUUUGAACCGGUUCACCAAUUGGACUGAUCGAUUCUUGCUCUGUUCCGUGAGCGGUUCUCAAAAGCAAUGAACUGUUGUUUCGGUCUUGUCCGACUCUGACUGAGUCAAGAGCCGCUGAACAUGAUCCUCGUUGCUCGGGUUUUCGGAUGAGUUGAUCAAUGGGGCGCAGAGUUUUCUUCAGCACAGUUUUCACGCCAUAAAACUCCAGUAUAUGGGAAGGUUAAAGCGAGUGCUGACCCGCAUCUGUUCGCUGUGAGAGAUGAACCGUGCUGAACAGAAGCAAUGACAUGUUUAUGGUCAGGUGUUGAGGAAUGGACCGUACCAAAUAUCUCCCCGGGCAGAUGUUUUGUCUAGGGCUCAGGGCAGUUCUCCCAGAGAGUGUUUAUUUUCUGUUUCCUGUGGACGCUUUGUGUCCCUCGAAUUGCAACCCAUGCAUCAGGAGCCUCCUCUUACUGGAACACAUUUGCAGAUAAGAGCCUCCACAUGCCUAUGUUUACAAUAAACACCCAAAUAAUGUAAACUACA